AUUGCUUCUCAGCCUUUUAGCUAAGAUCGAGUGGAGUAUCAGUUCUUAAUAGUUCAAUAUCUGAGACAUUUGCUAUCUGAGGACAAUAUUUUAAAUGGAUUUUCAGAGCAGGGAGAUGGAAUGGGAGUUUGUUCUGUCAACACUACCACACAUUGACCCAGUAUUGCAUAUUGCAGCACCUCCAGGAAUGGUGUACCAGAA
rnacentral:snRNA from 1 species